UACAUUGUGCAGGAUGACGCUGUGUUCAGUGCAUUUAACAAAUAAACCUUACAUUUUUUUUGUAAACUUGCUACAUUAAUAGGUAGACAGGCUAACUUUGAGUGUACGAAUGUGAAAUAAGUGCAACAGUUUGUUGACUAAGCAACCAGGUAUUAAUUGUUUAUAUACAGCUCUGGAAAAAAUUAAGAGACCACUGCAAAAUUAUCAGUUUCUCUGGUUUUACUAUUCAUAUGUAUGUGUUUGAGUAAAAUGAACAGUUUUAUUCUAUAAACUACUGAAAACAUUACUCCCAAAUAAGAAUAUUGUAAUUUAGGGUACUUAUUUGUAGAAAAUAACAACUGGUCAAAAUAACCCAAAAAAUAUGCAUUGUUUUCAGACCUCAAAUAAUGCAAAGAAAACUAAUUAAUAUUCAUUUCUGAACAACAAGCUACUAAUGUUUUAACGUACUGUAUGAAGAGUUCAGAAAUCAAUAUUUGGUGGAAUAACCCAGAUUUCUAUUCACAGCUUUCAUGCAUCUUGGCAUGCUAUCCACCAGUCUGUCACAUUGCUGUUGGGUGACUUUAUGCCACUCCUGGCACAAAAAGUAGCUUGGCUUUGUUUGAUGGCUUGUGACCAUCCAUCUUCCUAUUGAUCAAAUUCCAGCGGUUUUCAAUGGAGUUCAGGUCUGGAGAUUGUGCUGGCAAUGACAGGGUCUUGAUCUGGUGGUCCUCAAGGAAGUAGGUGUUCUUCCAGGAUAACCUUGUACUUGGCUUGAUUCGUGCAUCCUUCACAAAGACAAAUCUGCCCGAUUCCAGCCUUGCUGAAGCAUCUCCAGAUGCUAAAAAAUUAGAGGACCACUGCACCUUUUUCUUUCCUGGAAGCUGUAUAUAUGUAUAUUGUAUAUUUAUAUACAGCUCUGGAGAAAAUUAAGAGACCACUGCACCAACAAAAAAAGUUGAAAAGGAAAGUUUUGAGUGAGGAACAGAAGCAUUGAAUUUGCAAUGGUCUCUUAAUUUUAACCCUUCUGUUCCUCACUCAAAACCUUCCUUUUUUGGAAAGGAAAGAAAAAGGUGCAAUGAUCUCUUAGGGAGCGGGUUUGUGUUAGGGCACUUCUAUGCAUUAGGGUGCGGGUAUAAGUGUUAAGGCACAUUAAGUUAAAGUGGUUCUGACGUGCAGGGCACGCUAACAUGAAUUGAGAUAAAUAAAAAUGGGUCUGUUGUUUCGCCAUGCAUGGUUUUACUGGAUUUGAUAUGUUGUGGUAAAUAUUUGGUGAAUAUCAUGUUUAUGUUGUCUGGACAUCUUUGUGAGUUAUUAGGUUUUCCGGUUAAUGGUGUUAUCAUUCGGUGAUGGAUGUAUGGCCUACCAGGCAGAUUGGAGGAAUAUGGACAAGGUUGGAUGGAUUGUCCCUCUGACCGCCUCCACCCUCCCGUGGUGUUCAGCCAGGCUGAUCGCUGGGAGGCCUGGGACUUUUGCAUUAUCCCACCCUGCCCGGCAACGCUGCAUCGGUGGAGAAACUUUCCCUACAAUCAGCGUAGCCAACCCCGCUGGUGACCGAGAUAGCCCCGACACGGUUUGCUCAAUGGGCUUUGUUGUUGUGAACGUGGUGAUGCUGUAGACCGUAUGGAGGCCGUUUUGCUCCAUUUUGGAUGUGUUGGGAGUGUCUACGCGGGUCAAGAAAAUAAUCGACAGGGGGGAGAAGAACACACCUGAUUACCUCUGUUGGCCCAAACAGUGUUUACAGUGGCUAAGACCAAAGAAGACUUCCGACCCGGGGUUGAGAAAGAGACUAUGCUAACCACUACGUUUAGCUACCGCUAGACAUUCGACUGGACAUUGGGUUUGGGAAGAUACCCUACAUAAACAAUGGCUGUUUAUGUAGUGUUCCCGCAAUAAUAGACAAUUACGGCAAUCUCUCUGGCCUCACCGUGAGCGACCCAACGGGAGCACGCAGGAACGCCAAACCGCCUGAGGGAGAGGUGCUGACGGCCAGCAUCAACCGGUGAGAUCUUUCCUUAACACAAACCUGGUUUUUCUCUGACAUAUUUAGAGAAUACAGGAUUUAUACCUUUUUAUAGGGUUUAGUAAACUAGGUGGUUGGUUUUGGUAUGUCAGGAUUGAUGGAUUUGGAGAAAGUAUGGUAAAUCUAAUUAUUUUUUAGGGUAUUUCAGUUAUAGCUUCUGUAGUUAAGAAACUGCCAUUCUUCCGUGUCCUGAUAGCACUAGUAACAUUCGUGCAGGAUUUUCAACAGCUCUCUAUUGGUGGACUUGUUUUCUGUUUUUCGACGGUAGGGGAAUUGAGCCUCUAAGUCUCCUUGUAGACCCUGUAUCAUAGGUAGGGGAGAUUCAGUCCUGUUGGCUAGCGUUGAGCACCCCAGUGCUCUUUAUCAUACCAUGUAAAAAGAGCACUGAUGGCUGAUUGGGAAAAAUCGACAAUAGCGAAAUAGAAUGUUUCCACUAUAUCUACAACUGUUUCUAAUCUAUUUAGACAAAGGACACGGAAAGAUAUUGGAUAUACAGGUAUACAAGUUUGAGUGUUUGUUAGGACUGUGUUCUAAUGCAUUAACAAGAUGCAACAAACUAAUGUAAUGGACAUAUUUCUGAUUGUGUACUGUGCAGUUGUAACUAAUCUUGUCAAGGAGAAUUCACUGACAGGUACAGGACACUUACUUGCACACUUAUGCAACCAAGUUAUUGUGAGUUUUUUAUUUUUCAUUUUUCCCCCUCAAAGAUUUCAGUUUGUUUUUCAAUUGAAUUGUUCAUGUUAUAGGUCACAUUAAAGGUGG
ensembl:lncRNA